rnacentral:tRNA from 1 species
GCGGACGUGGUGGAAUUGGUAGACACAAGGGACUUAAAAUCCCUCGGGCCUAGCCCAUGCGGGUUCGAGUCCCGCCGUCCGCACCA